GCUCAGCUGGUAGAGCAGAGGACUGAAAAUCC
rnacentral:tRNA from 1 species